GGGAAAGCUAAUGUAUUUCAAACAAAAGGAAAUUAAAGAAAAGAUGUUCAGAUGGAAGCUAAGGAAUAGCUGAUGGAAGCCACAAAAUAAGACAGUUACAGUGAGUGCCAGGGGACCAACAUAAUCAUGGGUGUGGAUUAAGGUCACUAUAUUAAGGGAUGGAGUAGUAGCAUGGGCUCUGUUGCUUCACUGGUGGAGGUGAGAAUCAAAGCCCGGGCUUUGUGCAUCCCAGGCAAGUGCCCCAUCCCCGAGCUACACACAAACCAAAACCCAGCUACAAAAAAAUUCUAGAUUGAUAUCUACAGCAAAACAUACAAAGAUAUUAAAAAUAAGUAAGUAAAUAUAUACAUACUGGGAAAUUACUGACCAAAAUAAGGCUUUUAACAACAUCCAGGGCCAAGCACUGACUGGGAUCUCAGGUGACAAUACAAGAGGUGAUCCACAAAACUCAGUCCUAAUGACACUGUGCCAACCAGGCACACGAUUCACACACCCAUACAUGUCUGUAAUAUGUACACAUAUAUGAUGCAUGGCUUCAAAGUCAAAGUGACAUUGCUCAAAUGCACAUGCAUACAUUUCUAACUUUUCAGCCAACAGAUUAGGAGGUAUAAAUAGAGCAUGACAAAAAGUAGCCAUUCCCAGGUCACAAUCAGUAUCAUAGUGAAGCAGGUUAUUUGUUUGGGGGGUUGUUUCUUUAAUGUUUUUCUAUGUAGCGUAAGUAGAGUAAGAAUCAACAGUAAAAAUAAAUAUAUAGGGACAAGUGCUGAGAAUUCCGUCUCAGAACAAUUGUUUGGGGAACUAGGGAGACGGCUCAGUUAGUAAAAAGCAUGGUGGACAAACAAGAGUAGCUGGCUCUGAACCCCCAGCAGUCGUUAAAUGCCAGUAUACUAGAGUGCAGCUGUAACAGCCAUGCGAGCACAGUGUGACUGCGGCUCCAACACCGGGGAGGGCAAAGGAGCUCCUGGAGCAAUGGCCACCAGUGACAGAACUGAGCACCAUGGGCUCAGGGAGGGGUCCUCAUUAGUGGAGGGUGAAAAGGGAAGCACCUGACAUACAACUUUGGACUUUGCACAUUGCACAUGUACAGAGAGAGGGGGGCAUCCCCACAGAACUUGAUGCAUCAACGCGGGGCACACCUUUAGUUCCAGCACUCAGGAGGCAGAAGCAGGCUAUUCUCUAUGAGCUCCAGGUCAGACAGGAUGGGGGGAGGGAGAGAGGGAGCGAGACCAGAAGAUAGUAGAUAGAUGAUAGAUAAGAUGGUAGAUGGAUAGAUAGACAUAGAUGAUAGGUAGGCAAAUAGAUAGGUAGAUAGAUGAUAGAGAGAUAGCAGGUAGGUAGGUAGAUACCUGUAGAAUAGAGCAAAAGCCAAGUUUAAAGGUCAAGAGAUAACUUUAAAAACACUGAAAAAAAAGGCAACUUACUGCCUUAAACCAAUACAGUAUCAUUCUAUCUAAAUCAGCAAAACUACAGUACUGCAAUCUAAUGUCUCAAACUGAUAAAGCAUGAGUUAUCUAAUUAACAAACCCAGGAAGUCUGGAAAAAGGUAUCAAUAUAGUAUGAUAAGGACACCAUGAUCAAGGCACAGCCACACAACACACCAAGAUAAACACACUUCCAGGGCAGAGAGAUGCAGAGCCUGCCAGCAGAAAUGAGACAGAAUGAAGCAAAUGACAUGUGCUGUCCAGAAAGCUCCAGAACACAGCCUAGAAAGCCACCUGUACUUCAACAGUGAGGAAGUAGCAUUUCUGAUAUCGAGAACAUAGACAAAGCCAUGAUACUAAUAUUCUAGUAAGGAGGCAACACUAUUAAAAGACUAACCCCAAUAAGAAGGGUCACAACAAGAGGUAGGGAGGUCCCACAGGGGUCAGGUCACACAGGUGGGCAGGUCCCACAAAGGAUAGGUCCCAAGGAGGACAGGUCACACAGAGGGGCAGGUCACAGAGAGGAGCAGUUCACACAGCCAAGCAGAUCACACAGGGGACAGGUCACACAGGACAGGCCACACAGGUAGGCAGGUCACACAGGCAGGAAGGUCACAGGUGAGCAGGUCACACAGGCAGGAAGGUCACAGGUGGGUAGGUCCCACAGGGGAAAGGUCACACAGACGGGCAGGUCACACAGGCAAGCAGAACACACAGGGGCAGGUCACACAGGUGGGCAGGUCACACAGGCAGGCAGGUGCACAGGAAGGCAGGUCACACAGAGGGGCAGGUCACAUGGGCAGACAGGUAACACCGGUGGGCAGAUUACACAGGCAGACAGGUCACACAGGCCAACAGAUCACAAAGGGGACAGGUCACACAGGUGGGCAGGUCACACAGGAAGGCAGGUCACAGAGGAAGGCAGGUCACAGAGGCAGACAGGGCAAACAGGGUGGCAGGUCACACAGGUGGGCAGGUCCCAAAGGACAGGGCACACAGAGGAGCAGGUUACACAGAGGAGCAGGUCACACAGGCAAGCAGAUCACUCAGGGGACAGGUCACACAGGCGGACAGGACACACAGACCUGCUGAUGCCCUGGGCCAUCAUCAGAUGGAACUCUGUCCAGCUCCAGUCAAAAAUAGGAGAAUGAAGAGCACUUUCCCACUUACCUGGGAAAAUCAAAGACGAGGCCUCUCCCAGGAUCUGGAUGUUUCUGCUGGCAAGCCCCAGGGACCCUCCUUGUUUCACCUCCCCAGGACUGAGGUUAUAGGUGACAAAAAAACGAGCCACCACACCUUGGUCAUGUCAUCUUACAUCUACAGAGCGAUGCAUUCUUUUACACUAUGACAGUGGCUCUGGUUACUGUAAAGUUGACCUAAACAGCAACCAGCAUUGAUGCGGGACUGUUGCCUAGAGCACAGGAUCUGUGCAGGGUGUUGCAAUAAUCCUCAGAGUGGGAAACACAAGACAGAACGUGGAUCAUUUCAAGAGAUUUGAAGCAAUGAGGAAAUGAGAAGAAAAAACAGGAAGAUGGAGAGGGAGAGAGAGAGAGAAGGAAAGGGGAUACUUCAGGCUACCCUCGAUCAAACCAGAGCUCCACCUAGACAGAAGGGCAUUUCCAGGACUUCAUAGACAAGCCCCAAACUCAGCCUCAGGGAGCCCAGACCUGUUAAACUAGUGAUCUAAUUCAUAUCUCUGACUUAUAUGCAAAUGUACCUAGGAAGCCUGCAUCCAGUACAAAGAAUAUGCGCCAAUUUAAAAGAAGACAAUACAAAACCAAAUGUUCUUCAGCGUAAGAAGACUCAGAACGCCUGUGACGUAACUACUGUGUGGAAGGAUGUGAGCUUGUGCCCCUCAAGCUGAGGUCAGACUCCGUGACCUCCAACACUUCCCCUGCCUCUUCUCCAUGUUCCCCUCCUCCCAGCGGCCAAGCGCUCCCCCCCCCCCAAGUUCCCAAACAGUCUCUCCCCCAGAAGCUGCCCUUCCGACCUUCCUAGGCCUGCCACCAGGACUCCUUUGUUCCUUUGUCUGUACCGAGUCAUUUUAUCUCAAGGCUAAAGGAUUCAAAACAAAUGGUAUAUCAUUGUACUGUUGGUUACACUGAGAUACUGAUAAGGGAAAAUGGUAGAAACAGACACUAUGUUCUAAACUUCCUGUGAAAACACCCAUGACCUCACCUAACUCUUUACAGCAGCGGAAAGUUCCAUGCCAAGCCGCUUCCCACCUAAACUGGCUUAUUCAAAAUAUCAGCAAAGAUGUCUUUGGUAAAAAUAGUGUUGAUGCAGAAAUCACCCUUUGUAAGUAUUCGCCACAUAAAUACAGACUUGGAGGUAUCUACAUUUCUUGAAGAGUUGAAGUCUUGGGGAAGAGGUGCCUGAGUGUUUUCAACUAUUUCUUGUCCCCUUUGUCCCUUGUAUGACUACAUCAUUGUACAGUUGAAGAAUAAAAACGGGGCACUGUGGUAAUUGAAUGAAGGACGCCAACUUGUGU